AGCAGCCGCGGUAAUUCCAGCUCCAAUAGCGUAUAUUAAAGUUGUUGCAGUUAAAAAAGCUCGUAGUUGAAUUUCGGGAUCAAUACGUCGGUCGUGCUUCGGUACGUACUGGCGUAAUUGAUUUCUCCCUUCUGACGAACCAUGAUGUCAUUAACUUGGUGUCAUGGGAAAUCAGGACUGUUACUUUGAAAAAAAUUAGAGUGUUUAAAGCAGGCUCACGCUUGAAUACAUUAGCAUGGAAUAAUGAAAUAGGACGUUUGAUUCUAUUUUGUUGGUUUCUAGGAUCGACGUAAUGAUUAAUAGGGAUAGUUGGGGGCAUUAGUAUUCAAUUGUCAGAGGUGAAAUUCUUGGAUUUAUUGAAGACUAACUAACUGCGAAAGCAUUUGCCAAGGAUGUUUUCAUUAAUCAAGAACGAAAGUUAGGGGAUCGAAGACGAUCAGAUACCGUCGUAGUCUUAACCAUAAACUAAUGCCGACUAGGGAUCGGAUGAUGUUAUUUUUAAUGACUCAUUACGCG
rnacentral:rRNA from 1 species